rnacentral:tRNA from 1 species
GCCUGGGUGGCUCAGUCGGUUGAGCGUCCGACUUUGGCUCAGGUCAUGAUCUCGGUUUCUGUGAGUUCGAGCCUCGCGUCGGGCU